CCUCUGGACCAAGGAAGGAGGAGCACGGAGCUGCGCCCGCUGUCCCCGCCGUCCUCACCAAAGGACGCCAGGACGGAGGUGUUGCGGUCGAGGUGGGAGCCUCCAGCUUGUGCUGCUCCACGCGAGUAGAAGCAGUGCUCCAUGGGCAAGGCGGCUGAUGCAGAGAGAGGAGAGGAGAUGAAGCAACGCCGUCUCGUCAUCGCCGGGAGUAGUUUGGCCUCACGCCGCCGUGCUGUCGCCCGGAGCAACGCUACCUCGCACCGCUGAUGUAGCCCCCAAUCUCAGUCUCCACCGGACCCGAGCAACAGUGAGGGGAGCGGCGCCGUCGGCGGCCUCAUACCUCACCGUCCCAGCUGACGAUUCGAGGUGACGGCCAUUAUGCUUACUCUCCUUCUCGAUCCCGUAGUUUUUUCGAUUUUCUUUUCUUCUAUUAUCUUGAGGGAAACCCUACCUCUUUUGAGGGAAACCCUAGCUCUAAUUUCCUUCUUAACAGAAACCUGCUACACGUUUACUUGUUGAAGACAACGGUCAGAGAAGAAGAUGCUGACAUGGAAUUAGAUGGUACAAAUUUAUGAAAAAUUUGGCACAUCGGUAUAGAUCUGGAGAAGGCUGGUUUGAAUACAUGUAGUGCUUGAAUUUGUCUUCUGGGCUUAUUUUAUCCUCCAAACGAUAUUCGAGCCAGUCAGGUUCGACAACUAUGGCAGCGGCAACCAUGUGUUCGAUUUGUUGGCUUCAGGCAUGGCACCUCGGCCCGGAGAUCAAUGGUGAUGAGGAGCAGGUGCAGUCAUCUUUGCGGCACUUGCGCUGAUCCGACAGUGAGGCACGUUCAGCCAGGACCAAGAGACGGGAGGCUGCAGGGCUCUGCCUCCUCCAACCCCACCCUCAUCGGCGCCCAUGGAGGUUCAUGGAGAACACUAGGUGGAUUUGCUCGCAGUUUUGGACAUGGACCUCAUCUGUAAGGUAAGGAUUUAAAGUGGGCCGCAUGAUACCGUCAGAUGUACUAAUAAUCUCUAAGGUGGUCUCAUUAUGCGAUUCUAAGUGCACUAUGUUUCUCAGUUUGUAAGUACGACUCCAUCAAUCCAAAAGACGUGCACAGUUACAUGAUAGGGUUCUUGCUAUCCAUGAUGUUUCUCUUCCAGGUCAGACGAAUGCUAAGAUUAGUGCGCAACUUGACGUUGAGACAGAGACAAGAUGGUAACUCUAAAUAUCUGAGACCGGUUAGCACCUACAGUGCUAUGUUCUGAUUAUUGUACAUGUCUAUUACUGUAGGCAACUUGACUUUGAGACAAACACAAGAUGGUUCAGGUUCUAAUAAAUAUUUGCCUUGGUCAAAGCAAAGCAGUUACAAAGUUGAUACCCAUUUUGCUAGAAUAUCCAGCUUCGGU